rnacentral:misc_RNA from 1 species
AACGCACGAGACCUGCGGACCUGCGGAGGGAUCAUUACUGAGUGAGGGCCCUCUGGGUCCAACCUCCCACCCGUGUUUAACGAACCUUGUUGCUUCGGCGGGCCCGCCUCACGGCCGCCGGGGGGCAUCCGCCCCCGGGCCCGCGCCCGCCGAAGCCACCUGUGAACGCUGUCUGAAGUUGCAGUCUGAGAAAAUUAUUAAAUUAAUUAAAACUUUUAACAAUGGAUCUCUAGAUCGGAA